UCUUUCGUGGUUGUGUACCUAAGAAAAUUUCGGUCUAUGAUGUUGCUUUUGGUGCUAACUCGAGCUAUGUUGGCGAAAUUCUGAGAAAUAGUAAACCUUCUGCCGCACCUGUUUUCGGAGUUGAAAUCGAAGGAUUUGGAGUGAGAUUUUCGAAUCAGUCUCUUCACAAAACUCGUCGAGGACCGUGAUAAUUAUAUGUGGAGCUGAUACAGAAAAUAAUAUUAGAUUAUCGGGUGUUGCUCACGUUUAUACGAGAUUUAUUUAUCGUGGAUCCA